rnacentral:tRNA from 1 species
CCUUCGAUAGCUCAGUUGGUAGAGCGGUGGACUGUAGAGGCAAUCGAUUGAUAUCCAUAGGUCGCUGGUUCAAAUCCGGCUCGAAGGA